GAAAAUGUUGAUAGGAACCCCCAGCUAUGGAAGGCCUGCUGUACAAAAAUUGUGUUACUAUAAAACCAUGGGAAUUUAUUUGACUGGACGUCUACAGAAGACCAGACCCAGACCAGGAAGGGGCGUGACUUGCUGCCCAGGAACACACAGUGGGCUUCCAGGAAUAAGUCAAGGUCUUCUUCCCCACUGGUCCAGUGCUUGAACAGCAAUAUUAGCUUCAUCUGCAGGCCUACACCUCCCUAGGCUGCUCUAACACAUCGCUAAUCCAAGGACCCCAAGACCUAGCAGUUCAUCAGAAAUCUCCCAAGAUGCUUGUUAGCAAAUGUAAACUCCUGUGUCCUACAUCACCACCUAGAUCCUGACGUCGUUCGUCUGACUUUGCACUGGGGGUCUGUGUAUUUACCAAGAACUUUGGUUACCGUGAUGCAGCUGGUCCAUGGGACCACGUACAAAGUUCCUUCACUCUUCUGCAGUGCCAAUGCAUUAAAAAUAUACAAGAAAUAGGGUGUGCAUUGUGUGUGUAGUUUCUUGAUUCCUCUCAUGAGGUACACUUAUUCAUUCAUUUGUUCAACACUUACACUGCACACCAGCUCUUGGUAUUUGGCUAUGCUUACUCCCCACUGCUGUAUUCUCAGUGUUUC
rnacentral:lncRNA from 1 species